rnacentral:rRNA from 1 species
GAGUGGGUAUUAGCUAGUAGGUGGGGUAACGGCUCACCUAGGCGACGAUCCCUAGCUGGUCUGAGAGGAUGACCAGCCACACUGGAACUGAGACACGGUCCAGACUCCUACGGGAGGCAGCAGUGGGGAAUAUUGCACAAUGGGCGCAAGCCUGAUGCAGCCAUGCCGCGUGUAUGAAGAAGGCCUUCGGGUUGUAAAGUACUUUCAGCGGGGAGGAAGGGAGUAAAGUUAAUACCUUUGCUCAUUGACGUUACCCGCAGAAGAAGCACCGGCUAACUCCGUG